UCAUCACCAUGAAGACGGCCAGGAUGAUGCUCAGAGAGGCCAGGACGCGGACAUGGACGGAAACCCUGGGGCGAGGAUGCCAGAGGUUCAAGUUCAGGACUUCUGAGGCCAGUCCCUGCUUCUCCUGCCACUGGGCUGAGCUUCCACUGGGGCAGAAGAACAUCCUCAUCAUCCCAGCAAAUACUGGCAUGGUAUUUAACUUGCGCUAGGCCCUCUGCUCAGUGUUCUCUACAUGCUGACGCGUUUAAUCCUCACACUGCCUCAGUAAGAUAGGUAUUCUCACCUAUCCCAGUACACAGAUAAGGAAGCUGAGGUCAGAGAGGUUAAGGAACUUGCUCAAGCUCACUCAGCUGUGAACCCAGGAGCUCUGGCUCCAGUCUGAUGUCUCAGAAAGCUGCUCUAUGCCUCCUCUGGUACAAAGGAAACGUGGGUGGCAUGGAACACGUGGCCAGGGCAGGUGACUCUCCGGUGAUGGUCUCAGUUGUCAUGGCAGCAGCUGAGCCUGAAUGCCGCCCAGGCCUAGGGGACCUGCCCCCACACCCACAGCCCCCGCCUGCGUAUAAGCCAUGCACUUCUCCCAGCCCCCACACUGGCCUGGGGAGAAAGGCAGGGAAGGAGGCUGGCGGAGAAACUGCACAUUUUUAUUCUAGGGAGCAAGAGCAUCAUCUCAAGGGGCUGUUUAAAUCAUCAGAUUAGACUAAGCUUUAAACCGCAUUGGAUGUUUAGUUAAUUUUCCUGUUAACCAGUGGGCAGGGGGCUGAGAAAAAGCCAGAUUUCAUAGACAUAAAUUUUCUUUUGGCUAAAAAAUGAAGGACUUGAAAGGUAGAAAAAUAUCUAUAUACAUAAGUAGGUAUGAAAUGAUGAGCAUGAGAAGUAGGAAAGGCUUUUCUCAACGUGCUUUGGUGGGCCCCAGCUAAUUUGCGUUUCCGUCUGGUCCUAGGCUGCAGGGGAAGCCGGCUGCAGGGGGAACAGGCGCUGUGUCAAGGGGCAGAGGGAGCCCGAGGAGUAGAAGGGACAGUUCGAGGCUGCAGAGUGAGUCUGUGGGGAGCUGGGGUGGGGCCCAGGUGUGCUGAGCCCCAGCCCGCUGCUCAGUCUGCCAACGUGCGUGCUCCACGGCACGUCCGUCCUGCAAACACGCGCUGGUGACUCAAGCGCUAUGCUGGGUGCCCGGGACGAGGGACAGAGCAGCAACAGGCUUUCAUUCCACUGCACUCAGUGCUCCCACGGGAAGCCACAGGGCACCCUGGGGCACAUCCGAGGGGCACAGAACCCCCCUGAGCAUCGUGGAAGGCUGUCUGGAGGCAACACCUAAGCCAGACCAUGGGGACGACAGGGAAGCCCAUCUGGACGUAAGUGUGCAAGUCUUGGAGGGAGCGAGGCGUGUUCAGGGAGCUGAAAUGAGGCUGGACAGAGACAUGGAUCCACGUCCUGGAGGGGGUGGGGGUGUGUGUGUAUCUUUGCCUGCCAGCACCCCUCCCCCUGGGAGAACACUCCUUCCUCCAUCCCAGCCACCCUGGGAAGGUCCCGGGGCGGUGGUCGGCCACAUCACCCACACCAACAGCACAAACAACAGGCGCAUGACCCGGCCUGGCUCAUCACAGAUCAGAGUGUUCCAUGCUCUAGGCCACUGGGGCUGAGGGAGGAGUUAGCAUGUGACCACACAGGGCCAGUAAGUCUCCCCUGGUACUGCUGCACGGAAGCCGGUGGGGAGGAGCUCUCUGCUGUGACUGUGUCUGCGGCUCUAGCUGCCAUCGUGCCAGCUGUGAGCAGUGACGCUGCAUACAGAGUAAAGCCAAGGGGAGACACGUGGAGCCUGGGCAAGCGGAGACCCCCUAGACCCAGCAUUGCCUGCAGGCAGACCGGCCUUUAAUUUCUAGUUAAAGAACGAGAGAAUCCUUUUUUGUGUCUCUACUGUUUGCCACCAAGAGUGCCCAGGGUUUUAAGCUGGGGAAAGACAUGGUCAGAAACCAAAGUGAUGCUGCUGGUGUCCUGUCCACAUGCCCUCCCUCCUACCACUCCAUGACACACUGGUCCAUGGAGCAGGUUGGAAGUGACAGGUAAGUAACACCUCCUGAGACCACCUCCAAUCACGACUAGGGAAGUGGGUGGUACGUACCCCAGCCCCCACCCCACCGGCUGUGUGGUCCACACUGGCUCCCAGAGUCCCCAGCUGGAUUAAGCUCUGGUCACCCUGUGUGGGAGCUGGCUGGAUAGGGCAUCCUUACGGGCCGCCUUUUCUUCCCUGUCUGCCUUCUGUGCUCUUCACCUUCCCCUCCCGAAUAAACUACUUGUGUUUGAAACCUUGUUUCAGGGUCUGCAAGGGCCUCGGGCCUGGGCAGAAAGCAGUGGGCAGCCGGGCAGAGUGCCUGGACCCUCGGGGGCCUACAGCAUCAGCUGUAAGAGCACAGCAGGGGCCCUGGGGGCUGGCAGUCAAGCCCUACCCCUGAUGCUUGGGGUGAUCCUGCAACCUCAACGCUUUUCACACAGGGUCCCCCGCCUUUGCCUAGCAGCUGGAGCUGCCCCACCCACCCCCAAGAUAAGAGCCAGCAAGGGCAGAGAGCCUGAGUCAGGAGACCAGAGCCUUGCCCAGCUCUGUCAUCAAUUUGCUGCGUGACCCCAGGCAAAUAUCCAAUCUCUCUGAGCCUCUGUCCUCUCAUCUCUAAAAAGAAGAGACUAGACCAGAUAAUAUUAUAUUAAAGUCCCUAACAGCUAAGAAUUCUAAAUCUGAAGAAAUUCAAGUCGACAGAGACAUUGGAGACAAAUACCAAAAAGUUUUAACCAGUUUCUUGGGGCAAGGAGGUGGCAAAGGACACUCUGGGUGCAAGGGCAGGGCCCUGCCUGUUCUCCCCUGGCACCAGCACAGGGUCUGGCGGGCACCUGGUAAUGCUGGAUGUACAGAUAGACAAGCCAGGGGACCAGCAGUGUGGGGGCUGCUGCCUGCCUCCUGCCCCCUCCUCGGCGUGGUGGGGAGUGGGGCUGAAGACAUCUGCCGGUAAGGACAAAGUCCAGCAGAAGCCCUCCUGUGUGCUGUCACUACAAGGUGAUUAAGUGGCUUGGACAGGAAGGUGGCCGUGCAAAGAGCUGGGGGACUUCUCGCUCAGGCACGCCCAGGGCGGGAGGAGAGGGAGGUGCACAGGCAGACGUCGGCAUUCCGAGCGCCAUGCAGUUUGGAACACUGGCUCUGUACCCACAAGGCCCCUCACCUGUGCGGGUCUCCUCCUCGCCUGCUGAUUCCCUGCUGCAUCAACCACGCCCGACCAGAGCCUGCAUCUACGGUUCCGGGGCUGUCUCCAACAUUCCUCAAGCUUCAGGAGAGCUGCCAGGUGCAAGCCUGUCCCGCGGGCACUAACAGGCGACACCGGCUUCCCUCUCUGCCUCUCUCAUCCUGGCAGGGAGAGUGGCCCGGGGGAUAGGCACGGCUAGACGACAGUUCCAGGCCCGAGCCUGGGGCAGGUCACAUUCCCAGAAAGAUCCUUGGAGGGGGCUGUCGGCUCCUCCACCCCCUUACUCGUUAGGGCACAGGACCCCAGGGGACUGGUUUCUUCAUAAGUCUCCAAAAUGUAAAUCGUCCUCAUAAGUAUUUAUGAUGCUGCAGAUUUAACAUAAUAAAACACUUGGCGAUUA